rnacentral:rRNA from 1 species
UAGGGAAUCUUCCGCAAUGGGCGAAAGCCUGACGGAGCAAUGCCGCGUGAGUGAAGAAGGCCUUCGGGUCGUAAAACUCUGUUAUAAGAGAAGAACAAAUUGUAGAGUAACUGCUACAGUCUUGACGGUAUCUUAUCAGAAAGCCACGGCUAACUACGUGCCAGCAGCCGCGGUAAUACGUAGGUGGCAAGCGUUGUCCGGAUUUAUUGGGCGUAAAGGGGGCGCAGGUGGUUUCUUAAGUCUGAUGUGAAAGCCCACGGCUUAACCGUGGAGGGUCAUUGGAAACUGGGAAACUUGAGUACAGAAGAGGAAUGUGGAACUCCAUGUGUAGCGGUGGAAUGCGUAGAUAUAUGGAAGAACACCAGUGGCGAAGGCGACAUUCUGGUCUGUUACUGACACUGAGGCUCGAAAGCGUGGGGAGCAAACAGG